ensembl:snRNA U6 U6 spliceosomal RNA
GUGCUUGCUUCAGUGGCAUACAUACUAAAAUUGUGGUGACAUGGAAGAGAUUAGCACGGCCCUAUGCAAGGAUGACACGCAAAUUCGUGAAGUGUCAUAUUUAUGA